GUAAAAAUAACAGAUAAAAAACCUUAAAAGACUUUUUGUCCUUUUAUUUUCAAACGUCGUGCCCAGGACGAGGCAGUUGACUUCUUGCCCAGGAUAGGGCAGUUUAACUUCAUACCCAGGACGAGGCAGUUGACUUCUUGCCCAGGAUAGGGCAGUUUAACUUCAUACCCAGGACGAGGCAGUUGACUUCUUGCCCAGGAUAGGGCAGUUUAACUUCAUACCCAGGACGAGGCAGUUUACUUCUUACCCAGGAUAGGGCAGUUUAACGUCAUACCCAGGACGAGGUACUUUA